GACGAACGCUGGCGGCGUGCUUAACACAUGCAAGUCGAACGGUGAAGGGACCGGUUUUUGCUGGUUCUGGAUGAGUGGCGAACGGGUGAGUAACACGUGAGUAACCUGCCCCCUUCUUAUGGAUAACCGCAUGAAAGUGUGGCUAAUACGGGAUAUUCUGCGCCUGCUGCAUGGUGGGUGUGGGAAAGAUAUUGUUUCGGUGGGGGAUGGGCUCGCGGCCUAUCAGCUUGUUGGUGGGGUGAUGGCCUACGAAGGCGGUGACGGGUAGCCGGCCUGAGAGGGUUGGCGGUCACACGGGGACUGCGACACGGACCAGACUCGUACGGGAGGCAGCAGUGGGGAAUAUGGCACAAGGGGCGAAAGCCUGAUGCAGCGCCGCCGCGUGAGGGAGGGAGGCCGUCGGGUUGUAAACCUCUUUCGCCAGUGAAGCAGGCCUGGCCCGUGUGUGGGUGGGUUGACGGUAGCUGGAUAAGAAGCGCCGGCUAACUACGUG
rnacentral:rRNA from 1 species